AAGUCGUAACAAGGUUUCCGUAGGUGAACCUGCGGAAGGAUCAUUAACACGUAUCCAACGAAAAAAACCCUGUGAACCUUGUAGCCCGUGUGAAGCAGCAAUUCCGGUAAAUCAAGUGGGAGGUGAUUCGGAACCUCUGCUCCAUAUGCGAUAAGUUACAAUUGAGCGGUAGACGCAGUGGCAUGGCGUCCCCAAGCCUCCAGUGAAUGACAGCGUCACUGGAACAGUGUAAGGACAGCUAGAGGUCGAUCACCGACCGGCAGACAUGUCACAGGUCACCGCGCCCCUAAUCACUCCCUCUGAAAUGUUGACCCCGAUGAAAAUCCGGGUGAGAAAAAACCGAACAACUGUUAACAAUGGAUAUCUUGCUC
rnacentral:misc_RNA from 1 species